GUGUUCACUUCAGCAGCACAUAUACUAAAAUUAGAAUGAUCUAGAGAAGAUUAGCAUGGUUCCUGAGGAAGGGUAAUAUGCAAAUUUGUGACGUGUUCUGUAUGUUU
ensembl:snRNA U6 U6 spliceosomal RNA